rnacentral:rRNA from 1 species
AGUGAACGCUGGCGGUAGGCCUAACACAUGCAAGUCGAACGGCAGCACAGUAAGAGCUUGCUCUUACGGGUGGCGAGUGGCGGACGGGUGAGGAAUACAUCGGAAUCUACUUUUUCGUGGGUGAUAACGUAGGGAAACUUACGCUAAUACCGCAUACGACCUACGGGUGAAAGCAGGGGUUCUUCGGACCUUGCGCGAUUGAAUGAGCCGAUGUCGGAUUAGCUAGUUGGCGGGGUAAAGGCCCACCAAGGCGACGAUCCGUAGCUGGUCUGAGGGGAUGAUCAGCCGCACUGGAACUGAGACACGGUCCAGACUCCUACGGGAGGCAGCAGUGGGAAAUAUUGGACAAUGGGCGCAAGCCUGAUCCAGCCAUACCGCGUGGGUAAGAAGGCCUUCGGGUUGUAAAGCCCUUUUGUUGGGAAAGAAAAGCAGCAGGUUAAUACCCCGCUGUUCUGACGGUACCCAAAGAAUAAGCACCGGCUAACUUCGUG